GCGGGCGUUCCCGUGGCCGGAAGAGAGGGGCGCGGGGGGGCCGGUGGUUUUUACUUUUACUGUCGGUAAGCGGCAUCGUCGUCCCUCCAGUGACCCCGGCCACGGCCCGGGAAAGCAGGCCGGAGUGGCCCGGCCGUCCGGCCCCGCGGAGUCACCGCGACGAGCCGAGUCCCCGUCGUUACUCCCGGUUCCCCUCGCUCACACCCUCCCUUCUCCCCCCCGCCCUCUGACACUGUCCUCGCAAAGCCCUGAAUGCAGCCUCCUCCCUGAGUCCUCUGCACCUGAACCUGAGAGGAGAGGCUUCCGGCCGGGAGGAAUGCGCAUCCUGUAGGAUUUCAAUCCAUUCCGAGAUGUCCACGCUCAUUUUUAGUCAGAAUAUGGUGUCUCCUGGCCGAUGUCACACGUGCUCCUGUAAACCCUGUGCAUCCUGCUUUGUUUGGGUGCAGUGCUGUGUCCCGCAGGGGAUUGGCUCACACACUUAUGGAGGCUGAGAAGUCCUGACAUCCUCAAUGAGCAGCAACCUGGACACCCGGGAGAGCCAUUGUUGUAAUUCAGUCUGAGUCCAAGUCCAAAGGCAGGAGAAGACCGAUGGCCCAGCUCGGAGGCAAUCAGGCAAGAGGAACCCCUUCUUACUCAAGGGAGAGUCAGCCUUUUGUUCUGUUCCGGCUUUGGAUGAGGCUUGUCCUCAUCAGGGAGGGUAAUCUGCUUCGUGAACUAAAAUGUUAAUCUUAUGGAGACACGCCCUUAUAGAAACGCUCAGAACAAUGUUUGGCCAAAUAUACGGGCACCCUGUGGACCAGUCAGGUUGACACAUAAGAUCAGCCAUCACAACUAAGACCGUCACGUGAGGCAGGAUAGCAGGGUGUUGGCAUGUCCUGGCCUUAGAAGCCAGGAAUGAAUCCUGCUCCAUCACUUACUAGAUUGAAAUCCUGAAAGUGACUGAAUGUGUAUGUGCCUCAGUUUACUCAUUACAAAAGUGUGGUUAACAAGAAUACCCAUCUCGUAGGGAUCGGGUGAGAAUUGCUUGAAUUCGAACGUGGAAUAAUUGGGUUUUAAGUAUUUCAUGUAGAUAAUUAUUAAAUUCACAUGAAAACAGUUACAUGACUAUUGUAAUACUCUCUUCACCCAGGAUAAAGUAUAACUGGCCAGACUUGAGCUUUCCCAUUUAUGGCCAGGUCUCUGAUAUGCCUCCCUGAGAUUUCACUCCACUGACUUUGAUCCCGAGAAGAGUCACACGUUUCUAGACACAGUUCUGUUAGUCUGUGAGCAGCUAACCUUGUCUGUCAUGUAUGGGUUUUGUGUGCUUAACCUGACAGGAUAAUUCUUUUUCUUUGGGUUUCACGGGUUGGGUUGUUCAGUGGCUGUAUGAGCAGCAUGAACCAGAUGUAGAAAUUCAAGGUAGGAACAGUCAUUAGUGGCUGGGUGACCUGUCUUUAGAUGACUAGUAGCUUAAUCAGAAAUUAUUUGACCUGAAACUGUCUGAGGAAUGUCCAAGGGAUUUUUUUUAAUGGAGUUAUUUUUGAAAAGGGACUCUAAGAAAGUUUACUCUGAAGUUCCAUAGCAACGAAAAGCCUUUUUGAAGUUAAUAAUCAUUCUUUUUUUUUUAAGGUUUUAUUUAUUUUUGAGACAUAGCAUGAGCAGGGGAGGCACAGAGAGAGAGGGAGACAGAGACUCCGAAGCAGGCUCCAGGCUCUGAGCUGUCAGCACAGAGCCGGAUGUGGGGCUCCAACCCACAAGCUGUGAGAUCAUGACCUGAGCCAAAGUCCGAUGCUCAGCCGACUAAGCCACAUUAAUAAUCAUUCUUAUCUGAAAUCUCAUUCAGUCUGUACACUGUAACUCUUUCCCAGGGUGCACUUGAUCUUGGCCAACUAGCUUUGGUUCAUUAUGAAGAGGAUGCUAAACACUGCUUUCACCUUAAAUUCUUAAAAAAAAAUUAAAGAAGUUAAAGUUAAAAAAUGAAAAACCUCUAUCCUAAGUCUUUCUAAAAUCUACGCUUCUCAAAAAUCACGGAGCCUGGUCUUAAACUUUGUAGAGGAGUCUAGGUCUUUGAGACUGACUUACAUCGGUGUAGGAAAAAAUACGACACAUAGAUGUUGCUUUCCCAAGUGAGCAGGUUAAAACAUUGAAACACAUUACCAGUUCAUUCUCGUAAAUAAUUUAAAAUCAACUAAAAACUAAUUAACUGGAUUUUUUUUUUUUUUUUUAAGAAGGAAGAGGGGCACCUGAGGGGCUCAGUCAGUUAAGCAUCUGAUGCUUGAUUUUGGCUCAGGUCAUGAUCUCACGGUUCAUGAGUUCGAGCCUGCAUUGGGCUCAGCUCUGAAAGUGCAGAGCCUGCUUGGGAUUCUCUCUCUCCCUCUCUCUGCCACUACCCUGCUCGCACUCUCUCUCUCAAAAUAAGUGAGUAAACUUAAAAAACAUUUUUAAAAAAGGAGGAAAGUUAUGGCGCAGACCCUGAAGUCAGACUCUCAGGCCCAGGAUGUACUAUUUACUAAGUUCUGUUAGCCUCCGUGAGUGUCAUUUUAUUCCCAUGGAAUCUGAAAAAAUACAGUGUAUACUUCACAAGGUGUGGUGUAGUGACGAGGAAUAAAAAAAAAAAAAAUACAGUAUACAAAUGACUUAUAGUGAGAAACAGAGCAAGUACAUUUACAAGUGUUUCCUUUGUUUAUUUGCAAAACAGCCUUUGUGUGGUACUUAUAAGGUCUAAGAUUAUAGUGAAUACAUAAAAAUUUUUAUGGGAAAUUUCUGUAGCUUUGGAUAAAGGUGCUAAGUCAAAUAGUCAAGAGAUGCCAGAAUUGAGUUUUGUAUCAGGAAUCUCAAGGGACUUGGUGAUGGAGACACAGUGGUGAUGUUGCACAAUUAAAGUGAGGAGAGUGAACGAGGAAAUAUCUCAGGUUCCUCGCAUCUUCAAAAUUUGGAGCACAAUUCACCACCCACCGGGGUUGUCCUAAUAGUUGCAAACCUUUCACCUCCCUACAGCUUUGUCUGCGUUUUGACGAAUGGCCACUAGAGGGCAGGAGAACCAAACUGAAGCCGCCAGGCGGGUCUCCCAAGAUUGGAACCGUGCGUGUUGGGGGGAAUAUUCUCAACUAACAGGGAACUUUUACCAUACACGUCUGUUUCCGAAAUAAAUAAAUCCAUCUCCACAAAGUCACCAAACAUUCCCAAGCUCGGGCGAAGCACAUUCUAAAUAGUCCUCUACUUGAUUUACAAUUUGUGAAUUUUUUUCUCUAUAUUUAUCUGUAAAUAACAGUAAAGCGAUUAUUUCUGAAAUGCUGUCUGUUAAAAAGUACAUGUUAACCCCAUGUUAUUGGCUCUU